GGCUCAAUGAUGGCAGCUAAUUAUCAAUAUAUGCUAUUCUGAGAAAAUUCAAUUUUUCAGUGCUGAUAUUGGAGUAUAUGAGAGCU